GGUUAUGGCUCAGCGGUAGAGCGCUCAUUUAGCACAUGCGAGGUGCUGGGUUCGAUCCUCAGCACCA
rnacentral:tRNA from 1 species